CAAGUUCAUACAAAGCCAUGACACACCCGCAUAACAAUUGAGCCGCUAGCACUUAGCGACAAACACACACAAAGCCUAUCAUGCUUCAUCACUUGGGGGCAAAAGCGACAAAGCAGCUUCAACUUUCCAUGACGGACCAUUACUCAAAGCCACCAAAGAAAACGCCACCUACGCAUAACUGUCUCCAACAGACGGAAGGCAAACACGAGAGCCAUUCCAGGCUUUGGGUGGCGCACAGUGAAAUGGAUAACACCCCAAAUCUCUCCUUCUCCAACAGCUACCGCAAGCAGAACACCCAAACCCGCGCGCCGUACCAGCCGCUCGCAGCGGGCACGCCGCGCGCUACCUGCUCCGCCGCUCCCGCCGCCGCCGCGCCGGCUCCAGUGACCAUCAUCAGGGCAACAGCAGCGGCAGCAGCGUACGCGUGUCGGUGGAGGACCCGGAGAAGCCGCCCGUGGAGCUGGAAGCGCCCCCGCCACCGCCGUCCGCGUCAUGCCGGUCAUGGAGGAGCGGAUCCUGCCGGAGCAGGGGCCCGCGCCACGCGUCGGUGGUGGCCAGGGCGCCGCCUCGCGCCGUUGGUGGAUGGAGCUCGGAGCCGGGGCCGCCUGGAGCGCCGCUCGCCGUCCCGCCUGGAGCACCGCCCGGCUGGAUCUCGCCGUCCACUGAAAAUUGUAGUGAAGGUGGACUAUUCUUUUUUGGCGAAUAAUGCUGGGCUAGUUUUCUACUACUAGUAAAUAUCAACCGGGGAAAUAUACCGGCUGUAUAAUUGCUGGAAUCCUUUUUUGUACCAACGAAAAGGAUUCCACCAAUUAUACCAGCCCACCUUGGAGAACAUCCUGAACAUCGAAAAGAUCAAAAGCACUACAAAGACACCCAGCAAGGUUCAGCUCUCUUCCAGGAAAAAAUUCCCAUCAUUGUCACGAAGCCUUCAAGUGAAGUACUCACACUGCUAGAAAAAGCCACAUUCGUCCGCGGCCCACUAAUAUAAGGCAGCCAGACUUUACCAAAGAAUAUGAGAAGCAGAAGGCCUUCUGGGACGAGUUCAAGGCAUACAAGCUAUCAGAGGAGGCUAAGGCAUUGAGCGCUAAGAAUAAAGGGAACUCGGACAAGAACAGAAAUCCACAUCGUCUAGGCUCACGUGGCUACAUUCACCAGUUGCCUAAAUGGGACGCGCGACUUGCAGAAUUGGCAAAGGACGGUGUGACUCCCGUUACCAGCGAUUGGCAGCUCAGAGCGGUACAAUUCCUGCUGGCUAGAGGGGCAAAGUUCCAAGAUGAUGGUACACUUUCUGUACCAAAUACGGACGUGGGCCAAGGGGUGGGAACUAAACAUCCGAAUUUUCGAACAAAUUUGAUAUUUUAAAAUAGAUAUGCUUGAAAUUUUAUGCUAAUUUUUUUUUAUAUUAUCAAACAUAUUAUUACACAUAAGAAUAAAAUUUUGUAUAGAUUUUUUUAUGCA